AUACUUUUUACCAUGACUCUUCUAGUUCAUAGCAUCAACAGUGUGAGUUGUGUGGACACUGUCGUGGUAUAAAACCAGUUUAGACCUGUUUUCCCAGUGACCCUGUUUUGGUAACCAUUUGUGCGUGCUUCUGAAAAAGUAUUUUUUCGCUGAAAAAGAGCCAUGUCUGGUUCUGAUAUAUGAUUACUGUCUGCACUGAGAGUAAUCAUUUAAAAAAUUAUCUAGAUAUUUCAAUUCUGUAAAACAUAUAUGACAUGAAGUUUAUAUUUAUAAAAUUCUCAUGUUCUAGACAAUCCAACUCCAACCAUUAGUCGUCUGUCCUAUCCUAUUCAACACUGAUCGACUGCUGUUUCAAUUCAUUUCAGAUAUGGGGAACACUGCAUCUGUGAAAACUGAGGAGCAACCUGCCACAGCUCCUGCACCUGAACCUGCACCUGAGACGAAGCCGAAAAAGAAGAUAUGUUGCGCUUGCCCAGAUACGAAGAAGCUGAGAGAUGACUGCAUCGUGCAGAAUGGCGAGGAUGCCUGCGGAAAGUUCAUCGAAGCCCACCUGCAAUGCCUGAGAGCUGAAGGGUUCAAUGUCUGACGCCUGGCUCUGUCGUGGCAACUUCACACCUGUUUCUGCGAUAGUCCGAUUUUGAUCAUAAACAGUAUGAUGGAUGAGAACUUUUGGUAGAGUGAUAGGAAGAACUCACUGUUUCAUUUCUAGAGUGCAAAAAAGAAUGCCGCUGAACAUGGCAGUUUGCAAGGCAUCCUGCACCAUACAUAUCUGCAAUUCUUGAUUAUACUUUUAUGGAACAUUGUAUAUGAGAAUUGCUUGUUUGGGUCCACUGGCUGGAGAUCCAUCACCACGUAUGGAACAAUUGUUGCCAGUUUUGCUACUAGCUAGAGUUUCCGAUCACAUGUUCCAUUGAUAUAUCAAUGAAGACGAUAUUACACUCUUAUACACCGUUGCAGUUUUGUUGCCAUUGGUAGUUACCUCCAUUGCUCCCAGUUACCUGCACCACACGGUUCGCUGGUGACUCUGCCAUGCAAAAUGCACUUGGUGGCUGGUGCCGGUGCUCUGAUCGUGUGGAUGCCGUUGGUUCUGCACGCAAAUGCCUUUCCUUUUUGUUUCAGGGUUGCGUGGAAUGUAAGCACUAACUUUGUCGCGAAUCUGCAGCCUGCAACUCUCUUUUUGCUGCUCUCCUCUUUUUUGUUUUCCAAAUAAUAUGUGGCAGUGGUAGCGGACUUGAUAAGCAACAGCAACUGGGGGAACACAUAAGUUUUAUUGAUCAGUAGACAGGCUACAAUGGCAGGAUAGAAACCCUACUCGCCCUUCUUGGAGGCUCUGAGUGCUAGGAUCUAUUUCCACCUGCCUAAUCUCCUGCCGUGACCUUAGCUUAUAAGGAGGCCGGCCACAACAAGCUCUCAACUAACAACUAAUCUGAUCUUAUCUCAUCUCUAUCUUAUCUUAUUUUAUCCUGAUCCAACUAACUACUGACCCAGCCACAAAACAGGAUCUUAUCUCAUCUCUAUCUUAUCUUAUUUCUAUCCUGAUCCAACUAACUACUGACCCAGCCACAAAAUAGAGAAAUUAGGCGCCACAUUAGCCACUAGAUGGCGCCUUCUUCCUCCUGUUGUACACCUUCCCAAUGAAAGAGUCCACAACACUUCCCCCCUCCUUUUGAAACAGCUCAUCCUCAAGCUGAAAAUCUGGGU
rnacentral:lncRNA from 1 species